AUACGGAGGGUCCAAGCGUUAUCCGGAAUCAUGGGGUUUAAAGGGUCCGCAGGCGGUCAAUUAAGUCAGAGGUGAAAGCCCAUCGCUCAACGAUGGAACUGCCUUUGAUACUGGUUGACUUGAGUUAUACGGAAGUAGAUAGAAUAAGUAGUGUAGCGGUGAAAUGCAUAGAUAUUACUUAGAAUACCGAUUGCGAAGGCAGUCUACUACGUAUAUACUGACGCUGAGGGACGAAAGCGUGGGGAGCGAACAGGAUUAGAUACCCCAGUAGUCC
rnacentral:rRNA from 1 species